GCCUUCGACUGAGUAUAGCUCGGUUGGUAGAGCAUGAGAUUCGUUAUCUCAGGGUUGUGAGUUUGAGUCCCAUGUUGGGCA